rnacentral:rRNA from 1 species
AUUGAACGCUGGCGGCAGGCCUAACACAUGCAAGUCGGACGGUAGCACAGAGGAGCUUGCUCUUCGGGUGACGAGUGGCGGACGGGUGAGUAAUGUCUGGGAAACUGCCCGAUGGAGGGGGAUAACUACUGGAAACGGUAGCUAAUACCGCAUAACGUCGCAAGACCAAAGUGGGGGACCUUCGGGCCUCACACCAUCGGAUGUGCCCAGAUGGGAUUAGCUGGUAGGCGGGGUAACGGCCCACCUAGGCGACGAUCCCUAGCUGGUCUGAGAGGAUGACCAGCCACACUGGAACUGAGACACGGUCCAGACUCCUACGGGAGGCAGCAGUGGGGAAUAUUGCACAAUGGGCGCAAGCCUGAUGCAGCCAUGCCGCGUGUAUGAAGAAGGCCUUCGGGUUGUAAAGUACUUUCAGCGGGGAGGAAGGUGCUGAGGUUAAUAAGCUCAGCAAUUGACGUUACCCGCAGAAGAAGCACCGGCUAACUCCGUGCCAGCAGCCGCCGCAG